rnacentral:rRNA from 1 species
AGCGAACGCUGGCGGCAGGCUUAAUACAUGCAAGUCGAGCGCCUGUAGCAAUACAGGAGCGGCAGACGGGAGAGUAACACGUGGGAACGUGCCCUUUAGUUCGGAACAACCCAGGGAAACUUGGGCUAAUACCGGAUACGCCCUUACGGGGAAAGAUUUAUCGCUAAAGGAUCGGCCCGCGUCUGAUUAGCUAGUUGGUGGGGUAAUGGCCCACCAAGGCGACGAUCAGUAGCUGGUCUGAGAGGAUGAUCAGCCUCAUUGGGACUGAGACACGGCCCAAACUCCUACGGGAGGCAGCAGUAGGGAAUAUUGGACAAUGGGGGCAACCCUGAUCCAGCCAUGCCGCGUGAGUGAUGAAGGCCUUAGGGUUGUAAAGCUCUUUCGGCGGGGAAGAUAAUGACGGUACCCGCAUAAGAAGCCCCGGCUAACUUCGUGCCAGCCGCCGCGGUAAAAC